rnacentral:rRNA from 1 species
AGAGUUUGAUCCUGGCUCAGGAUGAACGCUGGCGGCGUGCUUAACACAUGCAAGCCGAACGAUCCUUCGGGAUAGUGGCGGACGGGUGAGUAACGCGUGGGAAUCUGCCCUCAGGAGGGGGAUAACGGCUGGAAACGGCCGCUAAUACCCCAUAUGCCGAGAGGUGAAACGAAUUUCGCCUGAGGAUGAGCCCGCGUCUGAUUAGCUAGUUGGUGGGGUAAAGGCCCACCAAGGCGACGAUCAGUAGCUGGUCUGAGAGGAUGAUCAGCCACACUGGGACUGAGACACGGCCCAGACUCCUACGGGAGGCAGCAGUGGGGAAUUUUCCGCAAUGGGCGAAAGCCUGACGGAGCAACGCCGCGUGAGGGAUGAAGGCCUCUGGGCUGUAAACCUCUUUUCUCAAGGAAGAAGACCUGACGGUACUUGAGGAAUAAGCCACGGCUAAUUCCGUGCCAGCAGCCGCGGUAAUACGGGAGUGGCAAGCGUUAUCCGGAAUUAUUGGGCGUAAAGCGUCCGCAGGCGGCCUUGUAAGUCUGUUGUUAAAGCGUGGAGCUUAACUCCAUUUAAGCAAUGGAAACUACAAGGCUGGAGUGUGGUAGGGGCAGAGGGAAUUCCCGGUGUAGCGGUGAAAUGCGUAGAUAUCGGGAAGAACACCAGUGGCGAAGGCGCUCUGCUGGGCCAUAACUGACGCUCAUGGACGAAAGCCAGGGGAGCGAAAGGGAUUAGAUACCCCUGUAGUCCUGGCCGUAAACGAUGAACACUAGGUGUCGGGGGAAUCGACCCCCUCGGUGUCGUAGCCAACGCGUUAAGUGUUCCGCCUGGGGAGUACGCACGCAAGUGUGAAACUCAAAGGAAUUGACGGGGGCCCGCACAAGCGGUGGAGUAUGUGGUUUAAUUCGAUGCAACGCGAAGAACCUUACCAGGGUUUGACAUCCUGCGAACCCCUGAGAAAUCGGGGGGUGCCUUCGGGAGCGCAGAGACAGGUGGUGCAUGGCUGUCGUCAGCUCGUGUCGUGAGAUGUUGGGUUAAGUCCCGCAACGAGCGCAACCCACGUCUUUAGUUGCCAGCAUUCAGUUGGGCACUCUAGAGAGACCGCCGGUGAUAAACCGGAGGAAGGUGUGGAUGACGUCGAGUCAUCAUGCCCCUUACAUCCUGGGCUACACACGUACUACAAUGCUACGGACAAAGGGCAGCAAGCUCGCGAGAGUUAGCAAAUCCCAUAAACCGUGGCUCAGUUCAGAUCGUAGGCUGCAACUCGCCUACGUGAAGGAGGAAUCGCUAGUAAUCGCAGGUCAGCAUACUGCGGUGAAUACGUUCCCGGGCCUUGUACACACCGCCCGUCACACCAUGGAAGUUGGCCAUGCCCGAAGUCGUUACUCCAACCCUUGUGGAGG